rnacentral:rRNA from 1 species
AGCAGCCGCGGUAAUUCCAGCUCCAAUAGCGUAUAUUAAAGUUGUUGCAGUUAAAAAGCUCGUAGUUGAAUUUCGGGGUCAGUAGGCUGGUCGUGCCACAGGUAUGGACUGGUCCCACUGAUUCCUCCUUCCUGAUGAACCGUAAUGCCAUUAAUUUGGUGUUGCGGGGAGACUGGACUGUUACUUUGAAAAAAUUAGAGUGUUUAAAGCAGGCUAACGCUUGAAUACAUUAGCAUGGAAUAAUGAAAUAGGACGUUCGAUCUUAUUUUGUUGGUUUCUAAGAUUGACGUAAUGAUUAAUAGGGAUAGUUGGGGGCGUUAGUAUUCAAUUGUCAGAGGUGAAAUUCUUGGAUUUAUUGAAGACUAACUACUGCGAAAGCAUUUGCCAAGGAUGUUUUCAUUAAUCAAGAACGAAAGUUAGGGGAUCGAAGACGAUCAGAUACCGUCGUAGUCUUAACCAUAAACUAUGCCGACUAGGGAUCGGAUGAUGUUAAUUUUUUAAUGACUCAUUCGGCGCCUUA